GCGCCCAUGGCUCAACUGGAUAGAGCACCUGACUACGGAUCAGGAGGUUAGGGGUCCGAAUCCUCUUGGGCGUGCCA
rnacentral:tRNA from 1 species